UGCUAAGAAGAAAAUUAACUCUAUUCCAGCAGAGACCAGGACAUGGGGCUGCAUCUGCUGCUCCCUGGAAAGCCAUUUGGCAUUCCUUCACUCGUGCUUAUUGUUUGUUUAUUGAAGGCAGCAUUGCCUGUCAUUGAUGGGAGCAAACGCUGAGUUCUCAAUAGGAAACACUGUCUGUAUUCUGUAGCAUGUGGGUGUUGUUCAACAGGCAGCAGGGGAGAAAAUCUUUGGCUGAGGGUAGGUGGAUAAGGAAGAAGAGAGAGCACAAGAUACAUAGAGGAUGUGGCUCAUGCUGCAAGAGGACAGCACAGAUGGAAAAGGUGACAAACAGCAUAGGUUAUGUGGUGUAUCUGAUAAACCAGAAGGAAACUGCCAUUCACAAAAAUGUUGCUAAUAUUCUUUGUAGCUGGAAUUCCAUCUCCCAUUUAUUUUGGAGCUUUGAUAGACACCACUUGCUUGAAGAGGGGUACUAUGACUUGUGGUGGAGAAGGAGCAUGUAGGAUGUAUGAUAUUGUCGCUUACAGGUGGUUCUAUCUUGGCCUGCCAGCAGUGUUACGUGGAGUGUCCUACAUCCCAAGCACACUAGUUCUCCUCAUUCUAAAGAAGAGACUGAAAUCUGAAAAGUCAAUAUUAAUGAAUGCCCCAAUAGAAAUGCAGGAUAAAGGACAAGAAGCAGUGAAAUAGCAUUUCACAGAAGGACAUGUUGGGAAAAAAACAUUGCUCUGUUAAUAUUGGAUAUAUCCUUGUGAAAAACUUUGUACUUUAACUAAUGAACACUUGGACAGAGAUGAAUAGAAUUACAUAUAGCUGUGUCCUACU